rnacentral:rRNA from 1 species
UACGUAGGGGGCAAGCGUUGUCCGGAAUUAUUGGGCGUAAAGAGCGCGUAGGCGGUCCGAUAAGGCGGCUGUGAAAGUCAGGGGCUCAACCCUUGGAAGCCGGCCGAUACUGUCGGACUAGAGUCCGGAAGAGGCGAGUGGAAUUCCCGGUGUAGCGGUGAAAUGCGCAGAUAUCGGGAGGAACACCAAUGGCGAAGGCAGCUCGCUGGGACGGUACUGACGCUGAGGCGCGAAAGCGUGGGGAGCAAACAGG